GUGAAAAAAUGGCAAAAAUACGGAUUAUCAGAUGGUUAAAUUUGCUUGAAAUUGUGUGCUUCAUGGAAGCCCAUUACUGAGAUUUAUCAUUUAGUUUGAGAUGGACUGUGCAAUUUUUCUUGUAAUAAACUAUACACAUAAUCAACCAAAUUAAGGCAAGUAAAAACCAAGUUACUGCAUAUUCCAAAUGUUUCAUUGGUUGUAUAGUGAAUGUAUUGCUUAAGCUAUCUUGC